rnacentral:rRNA from 1 species
CUACGUAGGGUGCAAGCGUUAAUCGGAAUUACUGGGCGUAAAGCGUGCGCAGGCGGUUUUGUAAGACAGAGGUGAAAUCCCCGGGCUCAACCCGGGAACUGCCUUUGUGACUGCAAGGCUAGAGUACGGCAGAGGGGGAUGGAAUUUUGCGUGUUGCAGUGAAAUGCGUAGAUAUGCGGAGGAAGACCGAUGGCGAAGGCAAUCCCCUGGGCGUGUACUGACGCUCAUGCACGAAAGCGGGGGGAGCAAACAGGAUUAGAUACCCUGGUAGUCCACGCCCUAAACGAUGACAACUGGUUGUUGGGUCUUCAUUGACUCAGUAACGAAGCUAACGCGUGAAGUUGACCGCCUGGGGAGUACGGCCGCAAGGUUGAAACUUAAAGGAAUUGACGGGG